UGCUGCACCAACAUUGACAACUGCUGCACAAACGACAACUGCUGCACCAACAACGACAACUGCUGCACUAACAACAACUGCUGCACCAACAAGGACAACCGUGGGUCCAACAACCACAACAGCAGCUCCAAGUACCACAACUCCAGUUCCAACUACAACAACAGCACCUCCACCAACCACAACUGCAGCUCCAACAACAACAGGCCUGGGUCCACCAACCACCACAGCAGCUCCAACAACCACAACAGCGGCUCCAACAACCACAACAGCACUUCCAACAACCACCACAGCAGCUCCAACAACCACAACAGCUGCUCCAACAACCACAACAGCUGCUCCAACAACCACAACAGCAGCUCCAACAACUUCAACAGUGGCACCAACAACCAUAACAGCGGCUCCAACAACCACAACCACGGCACCAACACUGACAACUGCUGGACCAACGACAACUGCUGCACAAACGACAACUGCUGCACCAACAACGACAAUUGCUGCAUCAACAACUGCAUCACCAACGACAAUAACAGCUGCACCAACAUUGACAUCUGUUGCACCAACGUCAACUGCUGCACAAAUGACAACUGCUGCACCAACAACGACAACUGCUGCACCAACGACAAUUGCUGCAUCAACAACGACAACUGCAGCACCAACGACAAUAACUGCUAAACCAACAACAACUGCUGCACCAACAACUGCUUCACUAACAACGACAACUGUUGCACCUACAACAACUGCUGUACCAACAACGACAAUUCCUGCACCAGCAACGAUAAUUGCUGCAUCAACAACAAUAACUGCUGCACCAACAUUGACAACUGUUGCACCAACGACAACUGCUGCACAAACGACAACUGCUGCACCAACAACGACAACUGCUGCAAAAACGACAACUGCUGCACAAACGACAACUGCUGUACCAACAACGACAAAUGCUGCACAAACAACAACUGCUGCACAAACGACAACUGCUGCACCAACAACGACAACUGCUGCACCAACAGCGACAAUAACUGCUGCACCAACGACAACUGCUGCACAAACGACAACUGCUGCACCAACAACGACAACUGCUGCAAAAACGACAACUGCUGCACAAACG
ensembl:lncRNA